rnacentral:lncRNA from 1 species
GCACUUAAUAGGAGCUUAAUAAAGGUUUAUUGACCGACUUUUCUGCGCAAUCACUGCUGGGUCAGUCCAAUGUGAGGGGAGUGGGGAGUGCGGCGGGGUGGAGGAUGGAUUGGGGACGCGGAGGUCUAGCGGGAAUCGGAGCGAGGCCUGAUAAAAUCGAAUACACUCCAAAAACAUUUGUGAUCGAGUGAAAGCCGGGGGCUGGGGAGGGGGCGGCAGAGAUCUCAGAAAAGGGGUCCGGAGGUGCCGUCGUGGCCAGUGGGAUGCUUGGAGGUGCCACGUCCCCCUCUCCACCCCCAGCCAGGAGCCCAUCCCCCGCAGAGAGCGCGGGAGGAAUGGUGGCUAGCCAUCCAGUCAGUCUAGAACAAAACAUGCCUGAGGGGGAGUAAUGGGAUUCAAAGGGCUGCGAGGCGAGGGGGGAGGGCAGGAAGGAGCACCGAUGAGGUCAUUUGAGCCAUCCUACUCAUUUUUCGGACAGGGAAACUGAGGCUUCGGAAAAAGGGGCGGGGAAAUGAUUUGGUCUCCGGGCGAAAAAUGAGGGAGUGCCAUCGGGGCGUUUCGAACAGCCAACCAAUGAGCCGAUGGGCGCGAGGAGGUGGAUGGGCGUGUGGGGGCCGAGAGUACAAGAGGACGUACCCGGAGGGGCCAUUUUAGUCCUCCGGAGCAGAGGCUCGGGGACGUGGUCGACCUGUGGAGUUCCUGGCUUGGCCACCAGCACCGGCAGUUACCCCCCUCUGGCCUACUUUCAGUUCCCUCGUCUCCCACCCCUGACGGGGACCUCGGCCUGGGCCAGCCCCAGUGUCCCGGGCCGACGAGGGAGAGGGUGUCCGCGUGCCGGCGCGCUCGCGCACGUGUGCUCGGGCCAGCCCAGACGGACGUCGAGGCCGCGGAGGAGAUGAGCAGCGACAGAGGCAGGCGCCAGGCCCGAGCGACCCGGGAUCGAGACUGGACAGGCCGUGGCCAGAUCGGCCGGGGCAUAGCGGGAAACUGGGAGCGGGGCCGCGGGCGGCGAGUUGCGGCCGCCGGCCGAGCCGGCCGGCUCCGGGGCCGCGGCCGAGGCUCUAGCUCCCACGUACUCCCCGGCCGCCCUCCCUGGCCAGGCCGGGCCUGGGCCGGCACUUCCCCGCCUCCCCUAGAAAACGAGCCCCCAAGCUCGGGGCCGAAGAACCAAGAGGAGCCACUGGAGAAGACUGGGGGCGGCGGCGCCUGGGGGUGCAGCGCCCUGAAGCCUUCCGGGGGCCUCUCGGCUCAGGCCGAGAGGCGCCGCGGGAGGCGGCGGCGGCGGCGGCGGCGGCGACAACAAAACUCCCCAUUCCCGAUGCCCCCUCCACCCUUCCCACCGCCGCUGCCCCCCCUGCCGCCCCCGCCGCCGCCGCCCCCGCCGCCGCCCCCGCCUCCACCGCGGGAUCGCCGCGGGAAUUUCUACUCACAUCUUGGUAUGUGGCCACGAGUUCACUGAAUCUGGAGGUUAAGAGCUGGUCGGGUGCUACCCCCGGUGGUGCUGGAGGGCCUUUUGGGAUCUGAUGACGAGGAAGCAGGAAGACCCCACUGAUUACUGCAGGGGUAAUGGAGAGGGUGAAAGCCAACUUGGCCUCCUCCCUGUGGAGGGGAGGGUGGGGGUGAAGGGGCCCAGCCCCAGGCAGGCAGCCCAGAUGAAGAGAGAGAGGCAAAGGCAGCUGCAGACUGGGAAGGGAUGGAGGCAGGGUGGAGGUGGGAGGGCACAGCUGACACCCCAAGCCCCUUCCCAGGGUCCCUGGCCCUUCAUCUGUUUAAGGGGGGUGGGAGAAGAGGAGAGACAGAGGCUCCAUCCUUCUGGUGAUCAGCAAGCCUUUCGAGGCCAUUGGACUAGGGUCCCCAAGAUUGGGACAGACACAGAGCCCCUGGGGGAUAGGGGUGGCUGGGGGGGGGGGCCACCUAGACAGUCUACAACCCUGGCCCUUCCUUCUCCUCUCUCCAGCUGGUUACUACCCUGUUGGAAUUGGUCAUCUGAGAAAA